UCUCCGUAGGUGAACCUGCGGAGGGAUCAUUACUGAGUGAGGGCUUCGUUCCGACCUCCAACCAUGUGUGAACACAUCUUGUUGCUUCGGGGGCGCCCCUGCCGCUUCGGCGGUGCGGCGCCCCCGGAGGCCAUUAAACACUGCAUCAUUGCGUCGGAGUUAAAGUAAAUUAAACAAAACUUUCAACAACGGAUCUCUUGGUUCCAGCAUCGAUGAAGAACGCAGC
rnacentral:misc_RNA from 1 species